UACAGAGGUCCCAAGCGUUGUUCGGAUUCAUUGGGCGUAAAGGGUGCGUAGGCGGCGCGGUAAGUCGGGUGUGAAAUCUCGGGGCUUAACUCCGAAACUGCAUUCGAUACUGCCGUGCUUGAGGACUGGAGAGGAGACUGGAAUUUACGGUGUAGCGGUGAAAUGCGUAGAUAUCGUAAGGAACGCCAGCAGCGAAGCGGCACACUGGGCCUUUUCUGACGCUGAGGCACGAAAGCGUGGGGAGCGAACAGG
rnacentral:rRNA from 1 species